GGGGAUUUAGCUCAGGGGUAGAGCGCUUGCUUCGCAUACAUUGAGAUUGCAUGAGGCCGUGGGUUCGAUUCCCACAAUCUCCA